AAACUUGUAAAUCCUUUGAUACUAUAUUUUUCCACAUCAUUUUAGGCCUCCCCCUUCCCCUUCUCAUUCCUUUCCCUACUAAUUUAUCACACUUUUGUAUUAGGACAUUUCAUUCUCUAUAUUGUACAUGAUCAAACCAUUUUAAAUGACCCUCUCAUUUUAUCUUCAAUAUGUGCAACAUGCAUUUUCUGGGGAAUUUAGUUCCUAAUCUUAUCUAUUAUCGUGUUACCAGAUAUUCAUCUUAACAUCAGCAUUUUUGCCACAUUCAUCUUGUGGGUAUGUUGUAUUUUAUACGCACAAUAUUCACUCCCAUACAACAUAGUUGGUCUGACCUAGUCCCACAGAACUUAUCUUUCACUUUGUUAGGAAUCUUUUGAUCACAAAAUACACCUGUCACAGUCCUCCAUAUAAUUACAUUAUCAUCCAAAACUUCAUUCUUUUAUAUGAUAGAACCUAGAUACUUGAAUUGUUUGCAUUAUGACACCAAAACUCUAUACAAACAAACCUCAUCUCCAUUUGUUCUAUGUGACUAAACUCACAUUGUAUAUAUUCCAUCAUACUUCUACUUAGCUUAAAACCACUACUCUUAAGAAUCCUUCUCCACAACUCCACCUUUUGAUUAACUCUUUCACUAGUUCCAUGUACUAAUAAAAUAUCAUCUGCAAAUAACAUGCACCAAGCGACAUCAUCUUGAAUAUAACUAGUCAGCUAUAUGAACAAAAGCAAACUGAAGAUAAAAUAGUACAUAACUUUAUGCCCCAUUCUGCUACUCUUUUGACCUUAAGCAACUAGGUUUACAAGCUAAAGUAUAUGCUCUUGAAGACCAUAUUUUGCAAUAGUAAUACUCCUUCUAGAAGCUUGCAAAUACUUAAUGAAGUUUUGAAUCCUAAGAUAUUCAGCUAGGCACACAUUCACAAAGCUUGAAAAGCUCUGCAUAAUUCCAAAAACCUAAAACCAUAAGCCAUCUCCAGCCCCCCUUGUAGCAUAUCAAUUAUACUUCACCCAGCCACCCUUCUUAAUUUGAAAAGAUUGAUGCCAAAUUAAUUCCAUAAAUCAAGAAGAAAUUUGGUAACACUCACAAGUUUUGGAGAAGAGGAUAGAUGGAGCAAAAGAAUUAUAAAGUUGCUAUUUCAAUGGAAGAAAUUGAUAGUCACAGAUUAUAGUAUACCGAUGAACCAACUGUUAGCCCUCCCCCAAAACCACCUUUCCAAGUAUUUUGCAACAUUUCACCAAUCUCCACCUCUAUUCCUCCCAUAUUUUAAAUGAAUUUUGUCCACUAAUACUCCAAUUGUGGUCAAAACAAGGCAUCUUCCCAGCCAUCUGCAUUUUAAGGUUCAUUGGGACACUCAAGUUUUCACUCAAUCAGAUGAUUUUGAAUCUAUCAUCCUUCUAGAAAGACAAAUCCCAUUCUAGUUUUUAAAUGGCCCUAGCAAAACAAUACAUAAUAAAUAUAACUCACUAAAAAGAAAAAAGCAGAUCGUGAAGGCUGGCAAAGAAAAGUUUCUGACAUUUAUGAACACACCUUGACUUUCAUAAAAUCAGCCUCUUUUCAAACCUCUAUAUCAUCAAAAACCAAUGAAUACUGAAUAAAACACCUAAGAGGAUACCAGUUGGCAAUUGGACAAACGACCAAGAGCCUACUUCAUCAUCAUUAUUGAUGGUAAAGGUAGAG
rnacentral:misc_RNA from 1 species